UAGAUACCCUAUUAUAAAUUUGAAAAGUUUAGUAGUAAGUGAAAAUCAUGAAACUAAAAUUAAUUGGCGGCUUUUUAAAUAUUUUAGAGAAAUUUAUUCUUUAAAGGAGUCAACCCCAAAAUCUUACUUUUUUUUGUAUUAUUAAAUAUUACAUUUCAUAUACCUCUAUUUAUUGGUUAUUAGUUUAAUUAUAAAUUUAGCUUUUUUUAGAUAAAUCUUAGGGAAAGGUGUGGAUAAUAGAAAAGAGUGAAAUAAGUUUCAUUAAUUAGUAUUUAAUGAUUUAUUUUUGUAAUAAAAAUAAAAAAUAGAAUUUAAAAGUAAUAUUAGUAUAUUUCGCUAAUUUGAAUUAGUUUUUAAAAGUGUACAUAUUGCCCGUCACUCUCUUAUUAGAGA
rnacentral:rRNA from 1 species